GCUGUUUAAGAGAAGACUUGAAGAAACUGGUAAUGUACAGUUAUAAAAAUAGAAGACCUUAAGAGCCAUCAUCAAAGCUAAAGGACUGUCAUAAAGAUGAGAGGCUAACCUGCUGGCUGGGCCAAUGAAAGAAGAAUAAGUCAUCCAAACAGCAGCCACAACUAACCACUAGAAAUGUGAGUGAGACUUUUGUGGGUCAUCCAGCCCCAGUCAAGCUACCAGAUACCUAAAACUAUAAAAGAGACAAAAGACAAGACCAGCAGAAAUACCAGCCAGAUGAUCCACAAAUAUUGCAAAAGUGUAUGCAUCAGUUGUAGUCUAACAUAACUAAUGUCAGAAUAAUAGCCAUGGCCUCUUACAUAACUUGUAUGCACAAGGAGUUUCUGUUCUCUACUUCUGUCAAAAAGAAGGUGUAAGUACAUUGUCAGAAGAAAGAGCUGUCAUCCAGGAACUGGAGGACAUUAUGG